GAUAGACAACCAGAGGAUGAAAAGGGGAUCUUCUGGCGGUUUUAGAUGUCCACCACGCUGUGGUAAAAUCUCCGAGAAGUCGUACUACAAAGAUACGCCCCUCCAAAAGGUUGUCGAACGCAGCGUGCUGCAGACAAGGAAGUAAAUGCGCAUUUAGAAAGGUGUCUGUUAAACUUCUGUCGAGAGAGCAUUUGCAAACUUCCUGUGGAGAAACAACGAAGCAAAGACAAACAUUUACCACUAUAUAACACUGUCUUUUAUUCAUGGAUUACACCAACAUUUAUCAAUUAACAGUUUCUAUGUACUGAUGCAAUAUAUAAAAUAGUGUCUGAAUCCAGACUAUAAGGAUAUUGUAACCCUUUAUAAUUAUCAAGCUACCGAAAACGAGAUUUUUCCUGCAUCUAAUUAUUCAAUAAAGCAUCUACACGUAUGUUUGUGUUGAUUUACAACAA